GUAAGCAUUUCCUACCAUUUCUAUUUAUAAUUUUUUUAUUUAUUUAGACUUAAAUUAAAAGAAAAUUUUCCAGAGUUGUGAUAUAUCAUAAUUCAGUCGUUGAACAGAUGAAAUUGUAGAGGUUUCUAUCAUAUAUAUAUUUAAAAUUUGAAACUGCGUUUGAUUUUGUUUACUUAAAGAAUCAUAUUAAGAUAAAUAAUCAUCGUUAAGAUCAUAUUAUAAUUGAAGUAAGUGUAGAAAUUAGUUUAGCAAUUUAUAUAUAACAUUUUUAUUAGAAAUUAAGUAGAAGGAAUCACUCCUUUUAUUUUUGUAAAUCAUUUACAUUUUGUUUGUUUUAGAUUUUCUUUUGGCUUUAUUUUUUUCUAGCAGUUUUGUUUUUAUUGAGCAUAUCUUCUAUUUUUUAGAAGGAAGGUAGAUUUAUGGAUGAGGUCUAUUUAUUUUUUAUGCAACAAAAAAGUUAUACUAAUGCUAUUUCAAUAAAAUUGUUUGUUACUACCAUGAAAUUUCUGUGAUGCUAUUAACUGUUUUUGCUCUUUUUUAUAAAAUUUAGAAAAAUGAAUUAAAAUUUCGUGCCAACACUGACAUGUUAUUGUAUGUAAAGAUUAAAUUUUUGUUAUGAGAAUUACAGUUCUUAUGAAAAAAAGUGCUGUGAAUUGGUAAACGUGUAAAGCAAGAUUUGUCAACCUUGCCUGCCAAGUCACUUACUGCAAAGGGUUACAAAGCAGUGUUUCGUGUCAAACUGUUACAGCUUUAGGUCUAGGUGUUUUCAAGCCUUGAUUAAUAAUUACUCUGAAAAUACAUAAUGUAUUUUAAUAACAUUUUGCGUAAUGUUGUUACUGAUAUUCUGUUAUAUAUGAAUGUUAUGUUUCUUAAGUAAUGUUAUAUGCAUAUUAUAUGAACUUAUGGUGAAUGCUAUUGUUGUUGUGAUGUUGUUUUUUUGUAAUCUUUUGAGUUGAUAUACAUUUGGUUUACCUUCAAGUUGUUGUCUACUGUUAAAAAUUAUACAUAGUUAAUUUCAUUAUUAGACCUCACUGCAUUUAAUCAUUCACUAAAAUUAAUAUUUAGAUUCACUAAAAGCCUACUACUACUACUAUUACUACUACUACUACUACUACUACUACUACUACUACUACUACUACUACUACUACUACUACUACUACUACUACUACUACUUCUGCUACUACUACUCUGGCAAAUCACAUCAGCUUUAUCAGAAUUCAGAAAAAUGAAUUAAACUACAAUUUUUGAACAGUCAUUGUUUGUGAAGAUUGUUGCGCUCUUCAAACUACUAUAUUAGUAAAGAUAGUGCUGAUAAAUUCUUGGCUUUAAAAAUUGACAAUUAUUGCUACACUAUAAACAGUGAUUUGUUACCUUUGCAAAACAAAACUUCUAAAAAGAUUUCUAUGCCCUAUGACUCCAAUGAUUUGGGAACAUUUUUCUGACAAAAAUCUACAAAAGGCCCAGCAAGAACAUGUUCUAUCUUUAUUGUUGGCAAAUAAAGUUGAUGAAAUAUUACACUGAUGUUACUGCUUUUGAAACUUAGUUAUUCUUGCUCUAUCAAAAAGAAUUGAUGAAAUCUUGCAAAAAAAAAAUUUCAAGAAUAUUUAAAUAAAAAUAUACUAUUGACUAGUGGUCGAUGAGUUCAAGAUACAUGCAAAGUACAGUUUAAAGUUCUUUUCAACUCAACACAAUAUGGCGUUCACAGUAGAUCAGGAUGCGAAAUAAUUAGCACAGAUUUACAGACGAUUAAAGAGGUUUUAUACGUUAUUGUUACCAUUUACUAUUUGUUAGAUCUAUCGUAGCCAUUUUCUUUUUCACAGCUGAUAGGCCUUUUCCAGAAGAUGUUGCUAAAUGAAAGCUUUGAAAAAAAAUCAAAGACUUUCUCUUAUAUUAAACAGUUAACUUAAUUUUUUAAAUG